CAGCCCCUCGAGUGGUGGGGAUGAUUAUUUGGCCUAAAGCGUCCGUAGCCGGCCAUGUAAGUCUCCCGUUAAAUCCAACGUCUCAAGCGUUGGACUGCGGGAGAUACUGCAAGGCUAGAGGGUGGGAGAGGUAUGCGGUAUUCUGGGGGUAGGGGCGAAAUCCUUUGAUCCCCGGAGGACCACCAGUGGCGAAGGCUGCAUACUAGAACACGCCUGACGGUCAGGGACGAAAGCUGGGGUAGCGAACCGGAUUAGAGACCCGAGUAGUCC
rnacentral:rRNA from 1 species